UACAGAGGUCUUCAAGCGUUGUUCGGAUUCAUUGGGCGUAAAGGGUGCGUAGGUGGCGCGGUAAGUCGGGUGUGAAAUUUCGGAGCUUAACUCCGAAACUGCAUUCGACUACUGCUGUGCUUGAGGACUGGAGAGGAGACUGGAAUUUACGGUGUAGCAGUGAAAUGCGUAGAGAUCGUAAGGAAGACCGUGGCGAAGGCGGGCUCUGGA
rnacentral:rRNA from 1 species